GAUGAAGAACGCAGCGAAAUGCGAUAAGUAGUGUGAAUUGCAGAAUUCAGUGAAUCAUCGAAUCUUUGAACGCACAUUGCGCCCCUUGGUAUUCCAUGGGGCAUGCCUGUUCGAGCGUCAUUUGUACCUUCAAGCUCUGCUUGGUGUUGGGUGUUUGUCUCGCCUCUGCGUGUAGACUCGCCUCAAAACAAUUGGCAGCCGGCGUAUUGAUUUCGGAGCGCAGUACAUCUCGCGCUUUGCACUCAUAACGACGACGUCCAAAAGUACAUUUUUACACUCUUGACCUCGGAUCAGGUAGGGAUACCCGCUGAACUUAAGCAUAUCAAUUAAGCGGAGGA
rnacentral:misc_RNA from 1 species